rnacentral:rRNA from 1 species
UACAGAGGUGGCAAGCGUCGUUCGGAAUUACUGGGCGUAAAGGGCGCGUAGGCGGCCUCGCAAGUCCCGUGUGAAAUCCCUCGGCUCAACUGAGGAAUGGCACGGGAAACUGCGGGGCUUGAGUUCGGGAGAGGGAAGCGGAAUUCCGGGUGUAGCGGUGAAAUGCGUAGAUAUCCGGAGGAACACCGGUGGCGAAGGCGGCUUCCUGGACCGAUACUGACGCUGAGGCGCGAAAGCUAGGGGAGCAAACGGG